UCGAACGAGUUCUCGUUGAAUCUCGGUGCUUGCACCGAGAUUCAACAUGGAACGAGUGGCGGACGGGUGAGUAACACGUGGGUAACCUGCCCUUAAGUGGGGGAUAACAUUUGGAAACAGAUGCUAAUACCGCAUAGAUCCAAGAACCGCAUGGUUCUUGGCUGAAAGAUGGCGUAAGCUAUCGCUUUUGGAUGGACCCGCGGCGUAUUAGCUAGUUGGUGAGGUAAUGGCUCACCAAGGCGAUGAUACGUAGCCGAACUGAGAGGUUGAUCGGCCACAUUGGGACUGAGACACGGCCCAAACUCCUACGGGAGGCAGCAGUAGGGAAUCUUCCACAAUGGACGCAAGUCUGAUGGAGCAACGCCGCGUGAGUGAAGAAGGCUUUCGGGUCGUAAAACUCUGUUGUUGGAGAAGAAUGGUCGGCGGAGUAACUGUUGUCGGCGUGACGGUAUCCAACCAGAAAGCCACGGCUAACUACGUGCCAGCAGCCGCGGUAAUACGUAGGUGGCAAGCGUUAUCCGGAUUUAUUGGGCGUAAAGCGAGCGCAGGCGGUUUUUUAAGUCUGAUGUGAAAGCCCUCGGCUUAACCGAGGAAGCGCAUCGGAAACUGGGAAACUUGAGUGCAGAAGAGGACAGUGGAACUCCAUGUGUAGCG
rnacentral:rRNA from 1 species